UGGGGAUGACGUCAAAUCAUCAUGCCCCUUAUGACCUGGGCUACACACGUGCUACAAUGGUUGGUACAACGAGUUGCGAGUCGGUGACGGCGAGCUAAAUCUCUUAAAGCCAAUCUCAGUUCGGAUUGUAGGCUGCAACUCGCCUACAUGAAGUCGGAAUCGCUAGUAAUCGUGGAUCAGAAUGUCACGGUGAAUACGUUCCCGGGUCUU
rnacentral:rRNA from 1 species